rnacentral:rRNA from 1 species
AUUCCAGCUCCAAUAGCGUAUAUUAAAGUUGUUGCAGUUAAAACGCUCGUAGUCGGAUUUCGGGGCGGACCGACCGGUCUGCCGAUGGGUAAGUACGGUUUGGCGGGUGCUUCCUUCCGGAGGCUCGUUCCCUUCUUCAUUGAAGGGUUCGUUGGUUCCGGGUCUUUUACUUUGAGAAAAUUAGAGUGUUCAAAGCAGGCCUAUGCUCUGAAUAGGUUAGCAUGGAAUAAUAGAAUAGGACUUUGGUUCUAUUUUGUUGGUUUCUAGGACCGAAGUAAUGAUUAAUAGGGACAGUUGGGGGCAUUCAUAUUCCAUUGUCAGAGGUGAAAUUCUUGGAUUAACGGAAGAUGAACUUCUGCGAAAGCAUCUGCCAAGGAUGUUUUCAUCA